rnacentral:rRNA from 1 species
CGCCUUUUGGACUAUAAACAUAAAAGGUCCUGCCUGCCCAGUGACACUGUUUCAACGGCCGCGGUAUCAUGACCGUGCAAAGGUAGCGUAAUCACUUGUCUUUUAAAUAAAGACCAGUAUGAACGGCAAGACGAAAGCCUAACUGUCUCCCCAAGUCAAUCAAUGAAAUUGAUCUUCCGUGCAGAAGCGGGAAUAACAAUAUAAGACGAGAAGACCCUGUGGAGCUUCAAACUUUAAGCUAACAGAUCAAAAUGCCUUAGCACACAGUUUUAGGUUGGGGCGACCAUGAGGUAAAACAAAACCCUCAAGACAAAAACUAAGAAGGACACUUCAAAUAAAUAACAAUAGCGUAAUUGACCCAAUAAUUGAUCAACGAACCAAGUUACCCCAGGGAUAACAGCGCAAUCUACUCAAAGAGCCCUUAUCGACGAGCAGGUUUACGACCUCGAUGUUGGAUCAGGACCCCCAAAUAAUGUAACAAUUAUUAAAGGUUCGUUUGUUCAACGAUUAAAGUCCU